GCACCGGUGGUGUAGGGUACACGCGUCUUCUCCUUUAGCUUACCCCAGCACAGUCACGACGAUCCCGGGGUUCGACUCCCCGCCGGUGCU